rnacentral:rRNA from 1 species
UUCCUACGGGAGGCAGCAGUGGGGAAUAUUGCACAAUGGGCGAAAGCCUGAUGCAGCAACGCCGCGUGAAGGAAGACGGUUUUCGGAUUGUAAACUUCUAUCAAUAGGGAAGAAAGAAAUGACGGUACCUAAAUAAGAAGCCCCGGCUAACUACGUGCCAGCAGCCGCGGUAAUACGUAGGUGGCAAGCGUUGUUCGGAAUAACUGGGCGUAAAGGAUGCGUAGGCGGUUAAACAAGUUAUAUGUUAAAUAUAUAGGCUUAACCCGUAGAAAGCAUAUAAAACUGUUUAACUAGAGUGCAGGAGG